CCUUUGGGUGGGGAAUAACUCAGGGAAACUUGAGCUAAUACCGCAUAAUGCAGCGGCUCGACAUCGAGACAGUUGUUAAAGCGGGGGAUUCUGAAAGGAACCUCGCGCCUGAAGAGAAGCCUGCGGCAGAUUAGCUAGUUGGUAGGGUAAUGGCCUACCAAGGCGACGAUCUGUAACCGGCCUGAGAGGGCGGUCGGUCACACUGACACUGACAUACGGGUCAG
rnacentral:rRNA from 1 species